GCUAGCCUCAAGUGAUGAUUAUUGGAGGUAGAGCACUGUUUGGACGAGGGGCCCCUCUCGGGUUACCGAAUUCAGACAAACUCCGAAUGCCAAUUAAUUUAACUUGGGAGUCAGAACAUGGGUGAUAAGGUCCGUGUUCGAAAGGGAAACAGCCCAGACCACCAGCUAAGGUCCCAAAAUAUAUGUUAAGUGGAAAAGGAUGUGGCGUUGCCCAGACAACUAGGAUGUUGGCUUAGAAGCAGCCAUCAUUUAAAGAGUGCGUAAUAGCUCACUAGUCGAGUGACACUGCGCCGAAAAUGUACCGGGGCUAAACAUAUUACCGAAGCUGUGGAUUGUCCUUUGGACAAUGGUAGGAGAGCGUUCUAAGGGCGUUGAAGCAUGAUCGUAAGGACAUGUGGAGCGCUUAGAAGUGAGAAUGCCGGUGUGAGUAGCGAAAGACGGGUGAGAAUCCCGUCCACCGAUUGACUAAGGUUUCCAGAGGAAGGCUCGUCCGCUCUGGGUUAGUCGGGUCCUAAGCUGAGGCCGACAGGCGUAGGCGAUGGAUAACAGGUUGAUAUUCCUGUACCACCUAUA
rnacentral:rRNA from 1 species